UACGAAGGGGGCAAGCGUUGUUCGGAAUUACUGGGCGUAAAGGGCGCGUAGGCGGUGCACUAAGUCAGGCGUGAAAGCCCUGGGCUCAACCCGGGAAUUGCGCUUGAUACUGGUGCGCUUGAAUCCAGGAGAGGUUGGUGGAAUUCCCAGUGUAGAGGUGAAAUUCGUAGAUAUUGGGAAGAACACCGGUGGCGAAGGCGGCUCACUGGCCCGUUUCUGACGCUCAGGCGCGACAGCGUGGGGAUCAAACAGG
rnacentral:rRNA from 1 species